rnacentral:rRNA from 1 species
GACAGAUACUGACACUCAGAUGCGAAAGCGUGGGGAGCAAACAGGAUUAGAUACCNUGGUAGUCCACGCCGUAAACGAUGUCUACUUGGAGGUUGUGGCCUUGAGCCGUGGCUUUCGGAGCUAACGCGUUAAGUAGACCGCCUGGGGAGUACGGUCGCAAGAUUAAAACUCAAAUGAAUUGACGGGGGCCCGCACAAGCGGUGGAGCAUGUGGUUUAAUUCGAUGCAACGCGAAGAACCUUACCUACUCUUGACAUCCAGAGAAGCCAGCGGAGACGCAGGUGUGCCUUCGGGAGCUCUGAGACAGGUGCUGCAUGGCUGUCGUCAGCUCGUGUUGUGAAAUGUUGGGUUAAGUCCCGCAACGAGCGCAACCCUUAUCCUUGUUUGCCAGCGAGUAAUGUCGGGAACUCCAGGGAGACUGCCGGUGAUAAACCGGAGGAAGGUGGGGACGACGUCAAGUCAUCAUGGCCCUUACGAGUAGGGCUACACACGUGCUACAAUGGCGCAUACAGAGGGCAGCAAGCUAGCGAUAGUGAGCGAAUCCCAAAAAGUGCGUCGUAGUCCGGAUUGGAGUCUGCAACUCGACUCCAUGAAGUCGGAAUCGCUAGUAAUCGUGAAUCAGAAUGUCACGGUGAAUACGUUCCCGGGCCUUGUACACACCGCCCGUCACACCAUGGGAGUGGGCUGCAAAAGAAGUGGGUAG